UUAACUCAAAUUUGUAUACAGUUGGAUCGUUUGCCUACGUUUGCCUCUAGGUUCGUUUUCCAACUGCAUACGAAUUUAAUUUA
rnacentral:pre_miRNA from 1 species